AUUGAACGCUGGCGGCAUGCCUUACACAUGCAAGUCAAACGGUAACAGGUCUUCGGAUGCUGACGAGUGGCGAACGGGUGAGUAAUACAUCGGAACGUGCCUAGUAGUGGGGGAUAACUACUCGAAAGAGUGGCUAAUACCGCAUGAGAUCUACGGAUGAAAGCAGGGGAUCGCAAGACCUUGUGCUACUAGAGCGGCCGAUGGCAGAUUAGGGAGUUGGUGGGAUAAAAGCUUACCAAGCCGACGAUCUGUAGCUGGUCUGAGAGGACGAUCAGCCACGCUGGGACUGAGACACGGCCCAGACUCCUACGGGAGGCAGCAGUGGGGAAUUUUGGACAAUGGGCGCAAGCCUGAUCCAGCAAUGCCGCGUGCAGGAUGAAGGCCUUCGGGUUGUAAACUGCUUUUGUACGGAACGAAAAGCCCCGGGUUAAUACCCUGGGGUCAUGACGGUACCGUAAGAAUAAGCACCGGCUAACUACGUGCCAGCCGCCGCCGUAA
rnacentral:rRNA from 1 species